CCCGACCGCUAUCGGGGUGGGGCUAAGCCAUGCGAGUCGUACGCCUGGGGACCGCCAGGCGUGGCGCACGGCUCAGUAACACGUGCCUAACCUACCCUCGGGAGGGGGACAACCCCGGGAAACUGGGGCCAAUCCCCCAUAGGAGAAGGGUGCUGGAAAGCCCCUUCUCCGAAAGGGACUGCGGCCGAUCCGCCGCAGUCCGCCCGAGGAUGGGGGCGCGGCCCAUCAUGGUAGUUGGCGGGGUAAUGGCCCGCCAAGCCGAAGACGGGUGGGGGCCGUGAGAGCGGGAGCCCCGAGAUGGGCACUGAGACAAGGGCCCAGGCCCUACGGGGUGCAGCAGGCGCGAAAACUCCGCAAUGCGGGAAACCGUGACGGGGCCACCCCGAGUGCCGCCCGAAGAGGGCGGCUUUUGCCCGGUGCAAAAAGCCGGGCGAAUAAGCGGGGGGCAAGUCUGGUGUCAGCCGCCGCGGUAAUACCAGCUCCGCGAGUGGUCGGGGUGCUUACUGGGCCUAAAGCGCCCGUAGCCGGCCCGGUAAGUCGUCCCUGAAAUCCACGGGCUCAACCCGUGGGCUGGGGACGAUACUGCCGGGCUUGGGGGCGGGAGAGGCCGAGGGUACUCCCGGGGUAGGGGCGAAAUCCGAUAAUCCCGGGAGGACCACCAGUGGCGAAGGCGCUCGGCUGGAACGCGCCCGACGGUGAGGGGCGAAAGCUGGGUGAGCAAAGGGGAUUAGAUACCCCUGUAGUCCCAGCUGUAAACGAUGCGGGCUAGCUGUUGGGCGGGCUUAGGGCCCGCCCAGUGGCGUAGGGAAGCCGUUAAGCCCGCCGCCUGGGGAGUACGGCCGCAAGGCUGAAACUUAAAGGAAAGGGAGGUUGGGAGCUGGGUGCAAAGGUGAUAAUUAAGAAGUGAAUAUGAUUAUGAGGUUAAGUUGGCGCAGAGGAACUAUGAAUGUAAUCUUUGUCCUCUUUGUCUGUCCGUCCAGCUUCCACCUCCCCCUGAGUUGGCGGGGGGGCACCACAAGGGGUGAAGCUUGCGGCUUAAUUGGAGUCAACGCCGGAAACCCCACCCGGGGCGACAGCAGGAUGAAGGCCAGGCUAAUGACCUUGCCGGACGAGCUGAGAGGAGGUGCAUGGCCGUCGUCAGCUCGUGCCGUGAGGUGUCCAGUUAAGUCUGGCAACGAGCGCGACCCCCGCCCCUUGUUGCCACCCUACCCUUCGGGGUAGGGGGCACACAAGGGGGACUGCCGGCGUAAGCCGGAGGAAGGAGGGGGCUACGGCAGGUCAGUAUGCCCCGAAACCCCGGGGCUGCACGCGAGCUGCAAUGGCGGGGACAGCGGGUUCCGACCCCGAAAGGGGGAGGCAAUCCCGUAAACCCCGCCCCAGUAGGAAUCGAGGGCUGCAACUCGCCCUCGUGAACGUGGAAUCCCUAGUAACCGCGUGUCACCAACGCGCGGUGAAUACGUCCCUGCCCCUU
rnacentral:rRNA from 1 species